UACGUAGGGGGCGAGCGUUGUCCGAAGUUACUGGGCGUAAAGCGCACGUAGGCGGUUCGUUAUGUCGGAUGUGAAAGCCCUUGGCUUAACCGAGGAAGUGCAUCCGAAACUGGCGAGCUAGAGUACUAAAGAGGAUCGCGGAAUUCCCGGUGUAGAGGUGAAAUUCGUAGAUAUCGGGAGGAACACCGGUGGCGAAGGCGGCGAUCUGGGUAGAUACUGACGCUGAGGUGCGAAAGCGUGGGGAGCAAACAGG
rnacentral:rRNA from 1 species